CCUACGGGAGGCAGCAGUGGGGGAUAUUGCACAAUGGGGGAAACCCUGAUGCAGCGACGCCGCGUGUGGGAAGACGGUCCUCUGGAUUGUAAACCACUGUCCCCAGGGACGAAGAUGACGGUACCUGGGGAGGAAGCUCCGGCUAACUACGUGCCAGCAGCCGCGGUAAUACGUAGGGAGCGAGCGUUGUCCGGAUUAACUGGGUGAAAUGGGCGCGUAGGCGGGGAUGCAAGUUGGGGGUCAAAACUCCCGGCUCAACUGGUAGUCGCACUCAAAACUGGAGCUCUUGAGUGAAGUAGAGGCAGGCGGAAUUCCUAGUGUAGCGGUGAAAUGCGUAGAUAUUAGGAGGAACACCAGUGGCGAAGGCGACCUGCUGGGCUUUUACUGACGCUGAGGCUCGAAAGUGUGGGGAGCGAACGGGAUUAGAUACCCGAGUAGUC
rnacentral:rRNA from 1 species